GUGCUAGCUUUGGUAGCACAUAGACUAAAAUUGGCACAAUGCAAAGAAGAUUAGCAUGGUCCCUGCACAAGGAUGACAUGCAAAUUUUUGAAGUGUUCCAUAUUUUU